GACCCCAUACUUCAGACGAAAAAUGUCACAGAAUGUUUUGAUGACUGGUAGGAGAUAUGAGAAGGCUACUUAUACACCUGAAGUAAGAUCUAGAAAAGGAAGUCCAUGUAGAGAUGGAGAGCAAGUCAAGGACCAUGUUUCUUAUCCUCUGAGCCUCAAAUUAAAAGACAACUCCUAACCAGUACCAUAAUCUCCAGUACUUACCAACCAAAAGAUGUGUCCGAAAUGUGCUUUCCAUCAGUUUCCUCAGAGAUUUCACCCUGGAAUCCAAAGGAUUUGAAGAAGCUGAACUUCUCCCACUUCUUUGAUGCUCAUCAAAAAUCUUGUCUUUUAAAGCAGUCAAGGAAAUAAAAAUUCCUACCCACUCUCCCAAAUGUGUUUCCUUUAGGGAAGACUCUUAAUGAAACCCAGGCUACAUUUAAAGCCACAGUAGCAAAAUAUUUUAUUUUAAAAGAAAGUUAUAUUAAAUACAUUUAGAUAAAAUUAUGUGGCUAAGACAGAGGACAAGAGGCAUGAAAGUUGUCUUUAAUAUUAAAGUGCUACCACAUGGAAACAGGAUUAAAACAAUUCUGAGCUGCUUCUCAGAGAAUAAAUUAACCAGUGGGUGAGAUGGGCAUAGCCUAUACAAGGAAGAUGUUUUCUAACAAUUAGACUUGUUCCUGACCCAGGCAGUUGCUAAUUUACUGCAUAUUUUCUAGAGAAAUGCACAGGGAAGAAAUUGAAUUGGAUGGUCUCUAAGCUUGCUUAGAUCUGAGAUCCUGGUGAUUAAGCCUUCAGUGAGCCAAAAGGAGUCUUAAAUUUCUUUUACAGAACCAUACGAUAUAGCACAGCUCCUGGUAUUUUAUUAAUAUUUACCAUCUGAUGUAUAGAUUGUUAAGCCAAAACUUAGAUAAAAAAAUUAUAUUAUGUUAUCCCCUUAUAAAAUUGACUCUUUUGAUAGAGCUAAUCUCAGUUUUAGUUUAUGUUGCUGACUUGUUUCAUUCUAUUUUCUUCUGAAAGCAAUAAGGAGAAGAUACCGCUGAGUAUACAGCCAGAAAACCCCUCACAAGGGAGAGAACAAGAAAUCUCUCCAACAGAAGCAUCUUCAAAUACAUGAAAAUGAGCACAUCCAAAGAAGUGACCAGUGUCCUGUGAUGUCUUUUGAUAAGACAAGUUGGAACUACUCUGUACAUUCACUCAGUAUGCAGAUCAGGUUAGACAAUUUAACUUCAACAGUGGCUUUAUUUGUUCAUUUACAAACCAACAGAAUUAAAAAACCACAAAACAGUCAAAACAGUCCUUACCUA